GCUGAUUGCAUGGUUUUCUGGGAAAGCCUUUGCGGCAUGGGAUGGGGUCGCGUCCUAUCAGCUUGAUGGCGGGGUAACGGCCCACCAUGGCUUCGACGGGUAGCCGGCCUGAGAGGGCGACCGGCCACAUUGGGACUGAGAUACGGCCCAGACUCCUACGGGAGGCAGCAGUGGGGAAUAUUGCACAAUGGGCGCAAGCCUGAUGCAGCGACGCCGCGUGAGGGAUGGAGGCCUUCGGGUUGUAAACCUCUUUUGUUAGGGAGCAAGGCAUUUUGUGUUGAGUGUACCUUUCGAAUAAGCACCGGCUAACUACGUGCCAGCAGCCGCGGUAAUACGUAGGGUGCAAGCGUUAUCCGGAAUUAUUGGGCGUAAAGGGCUCGUAGGCGGUUCGUCGCGUCCGGUGUGAAAGUCCAUCGCUUAACGGUGGAUCCGCGCCGGGUACGGGCGGGCUUGAGUGCGGUAGGGGAGACUGGAAUUCCCGGUGUAACGGUGGAAUGUGUAGAUAUCGGAAAAGAACACCA
rnacentral:rRNA from 1 species